UGCAUCUGUGAUGAUGAUUUGGCUCCCUCUACUGAAGCCUUUGAGGAAAACCGCCAACUUGUUACCCAAAUUCUUUCUGAGGUGUU